AACGAACGCUGGCGGCAUGCCUAACACAUGCAAGUCGAACGAGACCUUCGGGUCUAGGGGCGCACGGGUGCGUAACGCGUGGGAACCUGCACGUAGGUUCGGAAUAACUCCCCGAAAGGGGUGCUAAUACCGGUUAAUGUCUUCGGACCAAGGAUGUAUCGCCUUUGGAUGGGCCCGCGUUGGAUUAGCUAGUUGGUAGGGUAAAAGCCUACCAAGGCGACGAUCCAGAGCUGGUCGGAGAGGAGGAUCAGCAACGCUGGGACUGAGACACGGCCUAGACUCGGACGGGAGGCAGCAGUGGGGAAUAUUGGACGAGGGGCGAAGGCCUGAUCCAGCAACGCCGCGUGAGUGAUGAAGGCCUUAGGGUUGUAAAGCUCUUUUACCCGGGAUGAGAAUGACAGUACCGGGUGAAUAAGCUCCGGCUAACUCCGUG
rnacentral:rRNA from 1 species